GACGAACGCUGGCGGCGUGCUUAACACAUGCAAGUCGAGCGAUGAAGCACCUUCAGGUGUGAAUUAGCGGCGAACGGGUGAGGAACACGUGAGAAAUCUGCCUUCAACACUGGGAUAACUCCGGGAAACCGGGGCUAAUACCGGAUAUGAAACCUGCGGGCAUCCGCGGGUUUGGAAAGUUUUUCGGUUGAAGAUGAUCUCGCGGCCUAUCAGCUUGUUGGUGAGGUAAUGGCUCACCAAGGCGACGACGGGUAGCCGGCCUGAGAGGGCGACCGGGCACACUGGGACUGGGACACGGCCCAGACUCCUACGGGAGGCAGCAGUGGGGAAUAUUGGGCAAUGGAGGAAACUCUGACCCAGCGGCGCCGCGUGCGGGAUGAAGGCCCUCGGGUUGUAAACCGCUUUCAGCAGGGAAGAAGCGAAAGUGACGGUACCUGCAGAAGAAGCACCGGCUAACUAUGUGCCAGCAGCCGCCGUAA
rnacentral:rRNA from 1 species